rnacentral:lncRNA from 1 species
AAUCAAUAGAAGGCAGAGAAUCACUAUCAACUGUUGGGUCCUAAGCUUGCUUCGUGUAAAUGAAGCUCUCUGAUGAACUCAAUUCUGUUCAUUGAAAUGUUUUACAGAUUGCAUCUUGUAAGUUAAUGAAAUUAAAUGGUAUUGAAUUUUUACAGCGUUUUCCCCACUCCUAGUCAUUUGGGAGAAAAUGAAAAUUGGAGCCUCAGAACCAUAGUCCAUCAGUAUAAUUGCCAUUUAGAGCACAAGAUUAUGAACAAAAUUUGAGAAUUUAGUGUGCUUUUUAGGCAAACUCAUGAUGGUUAAUCAAAGAAAGGCAGAGUCUAGGUUACAUAAUACCUAUCUGUUAUUUCAUUUAUUCAUUCAACAAAUAUUUAGUAAACCCCUAGUCUGGGACAGGCACUGGUGUAGAUAUUAAGAGAUACAGACAUGAAUAAGCUAAAUAAAACCUCUGUCCGCAUGGAAUUUACUAUGGAACUAUGUGCUUCAACUUGCUAUUAUUAAGAGAGAGUGAUAUCCAGUUUAGAUACUUGUAAGAUGUUCUGAUCUCUUAUCUUGUCCUUUUCCGUGCCUUGGCUUCCUUUAAUUUUAAUCUCAGCCAUACACACCAUCCACAUAUUUGUUACUGUUAUCCAGUCUGUUUCUUAAUCCAAUGGAAGUAUUUAAAUUAUCUUUGGAAUGUAGUAAAAAGCAGUCACACUAUCUCUAAAAUUUUCAAUGAUUAAAUGAGUUCCCCAAAUAAAUUCUCUGCUUUCUUACCUCUUCAACACUUGUUAGCUUGAGAUGAGCAAUGCUUUCAUCUUUGGUAAGAAGAAUGCAGUUCCAGGGGGACCAUUCCAAGGACUUAUCCCACCUGACCAUGACCAGAUCAUGGAGAUCAUUCCAGGCACUGAGUGCUGACUGCGAUGCCCAGAUGUUCUCUAUCAGGUACUGAAUAUCUUCUAGCUGCAUGUCAAAACAAGUUUGAAAAAUAAUGUUUUCUUCUAAAUAUAACGUUUCUUUAAGAUUAUUAAAUUACUUGAAGAAAUACAU